GGCCCGAUGGUGUAGUUGGUUAUCACAUCUGCUUCACAUUAUGUAAUGCGGUCGCAGGCGGUCCUCGGUUCGAGCCCGGGUCGGGUCA